rnacentral:rRNA from 1 species
CACGUAGGGCGCGAGCGUUGUCCGGAAUUAUUGGGCGUAAAGAGCUCGUAGGCGGCCUGUUGCGUCCGCUGUGAAAGCCCGGGGCUUAACCCCGGGUCGGCAGUGGAUACGGGCAGGCUAGAGUUCGGCAGGGGAGACUGGAAUUCCUGGUGUAGCGGUGAAAUGCGCAGAUAUCAGGAGGAACACCGGUGGCGAAGGCGGGUCUCUGGGCCGAUACUGACGCUGAGGAGCGAAAGCGUGGGGAGCGAACAGG